CACACCGCCCGUCACACCACGAAAGUCGGCAACACCUGAAGCCGGUGCGCUAACCGCAAGGAGGCAGCCGGCCACGGUAGGAUCAGCAACUGGGGUG
rnacentral:rRNA from 1 species